GUGCUAGCUUAGGCAGCGCACAUACUAAAAUUGGAACAAUACCGAGAUCAGCAUGGAGCAUGCACAAGAACGAUAUGCAAAUUUGUGAAGCUUCCAUAGUAAAA